rnacentral:rRNA from 1 species
UACGUAGGGUGCAAGCGUUAAUCGGAAUUACUGGGCGUAAAGCGUGCGCAGGCGGUUGUGUAAGACAGAUGUGAAAUCCCCGGGCUCAACCUGGGAACUGCAUUUGUGACUGUACGGCUGGAGUGCGGCAGAGGGGGAUGGAAUUCCGCGUGUAGCAGUGAAAUGCGUAGAUAUGCGGAGGAACACCGAUGGCGAAGGCAAUCCCCUGGGCCUGCACUGACGCUCAUGCACGAAAGCGUGGGGAGCAAACAGG